rnacentral:rRNA from 1 species
AGAGAAAAGGGUCUCUGUUGGUGACCAGCGGAGGGAUCAUUA